AUUGAACGCUGGCGGCAUGCUUUACACAUGCCAGUCGAACGGCAGCGCGGGCUUUGGCCUGGCGGCGAGUGGCGAACGGGUGAGUAAUACAUCGGAACGUGCCCAGUAGUGGGGGAUAGCUCGGCGAAAGCCGGAUUAAUACCGCAUACGACCUGAGGGUGAAAGCGGGGGAUCUUCGGGCCUCGCGCUAUUGGAGCGGCCGAUGGCAGAUUAGCUAGUUGGUGGGGUAAAGGCCUACCAAGGCGACGAUCUGUAGCUGGUCUGAGAGGACGACCAGCCACACUGGGACUGAGACACGGCCCAGACUCCUACGGGAGGCAGCAGUGGGGAAUGUUGGACAAUGGGCGAAAGCCUGAUCCAGCAAUGCCGCGUGUGUGAUGAAGGCCUUCGGGUUGUAAAGCACUUUUGGCGGGAACGAAAAGGACUGUGCCAAUACCACGGUUCGAUGACGGUACCCGCAGAAUAAGCACCGGCUAACUACGUG
rnacentral:rRNA from 1 species